rnacentral:lncRNA from 1 species
AAGUUUCAAUCGGCACAAGACAAGCAAGCGGCCCAUCAGGUGAACCACAGCCGCGACUCGCUUCGACGAAAGCUCUUCUGCAACACCGUUGAGGCGAAGACGCGCACUCCCGAGAGGCGUGAAAGUGAACGACUAAGCCUCUUGAUGGAUGGCCCGUUGAGGAGGCAGUCCUCAACACCCGUGCACAUGGCACUGUGCUCCAGCCCUAUCGGUGGGGG